rnacentral:rRNA from 1 species
AGCGAACGCUGGCGGCAGGCCUAAUACAUGCAAGUCGAACGCCCCUUCGGGGGAGUGGCGGACGGGUGAGUAACGCGUGGGAAUAUGCCCUAUGGUGCGGAACAACUGAGGAAACUUCAGCUAAUGCCGCAUGUGCCCUACGGGGGAAAGAUUUAUCGCCAUAGGAGUAGCCCGCGUUGGAUUAGCUAGUUGGUGGGGUAAUGGCUCACCAAGGCUACGAUCCAUAGCUGGUCUGAGAGGAUGAUCAGCCACACUGGGACUGAGACACGGCCCAGCCUCCUACGGGAGGCAGCAGUAGGGAAUCUUGCGCAAUGGGCGAAAGCCUGACGCAGCCAUGCCGCGUGAAUGAUGAAGGUCUUAGGAUUGUAAAAUUCUUUCACCGGGGACGAUAAUGACGGUACCCGGAGAAGAAGCUCCGGCUAACUUCGUGCCAGCCGCCGCCGUAACAC